rnacentral:ncRNA from 10 species
UACGUUCAUCUUUUUAAAUAAAGACGGAAGUAGACGAAAGUCGAAGAACGCAUG